AAAGAAAGAGGGAGGAAGGAAGAACACAGGUAAGUCGAACGAACCCUUCGGGGUUAGUGGCGCACGGGUGCGUAACGCGUGGGAAUCUGCCCUUUGCUUAGGAAUAACUCAGGGAAACUUGUGCUAAUACCGGAUGAUGUCUUCGGACCAAAGAUUUAUCGGCAAGGGAUGAGCCCGCGUAGGAUUAGGUAGUUGGUGGGGUAAAGGCCUACCAAGCCGACGAUCCUUAGCUGGUCUGAGAGGAUGAUCAGCCACACUGGGACUGAGACACGGCCCAGACUCCUACGGGAGGCGGCAGUGGGGAAUAUUGGACAAUGGGCGCAAGCCUGAUCCAGCAAUGCCGCGUGAAUGAUGAAGGCCCUCGGGUCGUAAAGCUCUUUUACCAGGGAUGAUAAUGACAGUACCUGGAGAAUAAGCUCCGGCUAACUCCGUC
rnacentral:rRNA from 1 species